ACCUGGUUGGCUCUGUUGGAAGAGCAUGUGACUUUUGAUCCCGAGGUUGUGAGUUUAAGCCCCACACCAAGUG
rnacentral:tRNA from 1 species